UUGGUAUUGUUGUAAUGUAGUGUAGGCUAGCCUAGGCCUACGGAUAGUGAAUUUCUGGAUGUUAAAUAGAAAAUACACCGCGGCCGAAUUGGUUCGCGGGCUAAACGGAAUCAUGAGCAUAGUCGUAACUGUGUACUUCGAUGCUAAACUAGCCCCUGCGUUCUAGGCCUACUAUAAUUAUAGCUUACGUCAUAUCGGUAGUGUCAAACCAGCAUAGGCUAGGCCCGGACGCAUUCGGCCUUGACAGUGUAUGUACUGUGGCCUAGGCCUAGCCUAGGCUAGAGAGUGACGUUGAAAGAGUCCAUUAAUGUGAACCAUUAACAUCACAAUUAGCAUCAAAAUAAUACAUAACGUGUACUAAAUAUCUACAUUAAUAAUUAUUCUUACCAACAUCUUGAUCAAAUGGAGAAGAACUACUAAAUAAAGGCAUUUUCUGUGCUAGGCUAUCUCUCAAUAAACUUAUGAUCAAAUUAACUUCUACGCAUGCUCAACAGAAUAUAAAAAUUAGACCUCGUCAUCCACUAAUAUUAGAAUUGUGAUGAAAAUACACAUGAUUAACUUCUUUGCACUCGACGCGGGGUUGACGUGCACGAAAAAUAAUAAAUAAAUGAUCAUCGGUCUUUUAAAAAUGGCAAAGGUCUGAGCAUAACAAUCAUCAAGAGUGGAUAAUGACCUCGAACACAGAUACAACAAUUAACUCCCAAAAGCUCAGAAAGGUGG